GCUGCUCCUCCCGCUUCGCUCCGCGCUCUCCUGCCGCUCCGCUCCGGGUCUCCCGCGCUCCUCUCCCCGGCUCGGCCGAGCGCGCUGCCCCGACGCCGCCACCCAGAGCCGGACCGCGCCGGGCGCCGAGAUGAAGGUGCUGGGACACCGGCUGGAGCUGCUCACAGGCCUCCUGCUCCACGACGUGACCAUGGCCGGGCUGCAGGAGCUGCGAUUCCCUGAGGAGAAGCCGCUGCUCCGGGGCCAGGACGCCACCGAGCUGGAGAGCUCCGAUGCCUUCCUCUUGGCUGCAGACACAGACUGGAAGGCCUCGGGCGAGCUCACCACCCAGAUCCUUGCUGCCCAGGAGAACAGGGCACGGAGCCUGAGAUGGACCUAGUGUUCUGCUCCCCAGAGACCCGAGAGCCAAGCCCCAAACUGGUCGCCUCUGGGAAUGAGGGCCGGGUGGGUCUACAGGAGGUGGGCAUGUCAAUGUCAGCAACCUGCCUCCUAGCCCCGCUUCCUCUCCCUGGUGGCCUGGAGCCCCUGGCAGCAGGGUGAGGGUGGGGAGGGCAGAGCUGGU
rnacentral:sRNA from 1 species